CCUAGAAUUGAAGCUACCCUUAGCUGAUCUUCCCUCAUUUCAGAACCUAAGGAGGGGAAUGCCAAGUUAGUACUUGGAUGGGAGAGUGUCUGAGAAUACAAGGUGCUCUAGUU
rnacentral:rRNA from 1 species